rnacentral:rRNA from 1 species
GACGAACGCUGGCGGCGUGCUUAACACAUGCAAGUCGAACGGUGAAGCCCUUCGGGGUGGAUCAGUGGCGAACGGGUGAGUAACACGUGAGCAACCUGCCCCUGGCUCUGGGACAACCACUGGUAACGGUGGCUAAUACCGGAUACGACCCGCCUCGGCAUCGAGUGUGGGUGGAAAGUUUUUCGGCUGGGGAUGGGCUCGCGGCCUAUCAGCUUGUUGGUGAGGUGAAGGCUCACCAAGGCGACGACGGGUAGCCGGCCUGAGAGGGCGACCGGCCACACUGGGACUGAGACACGGCCCAGACUCCUACGGGAGGCAGCAGUGGGGAAUAUUGCACAAUGGGCGAAAGCCUGAUGCAGCGACGCCGCGUGAGGGAUGACGGCCUUCGGGUUGUAAACCUCUUUCAGCUCCGAAGAAGCGAAAGUGACGGUAGGAGCAGAAGAAGCACCGGCUAACUACGUG